AUGUGGCGCGGGGCGGCCAAGCCGGCGGCGGUGAGGCGCCAGCCGGGGCGGCGGCACGGCGGCCAGCCGGGAGGUGAUGGAGACGGGGUGGCGUGGCUCGCGGCGGCGACGCGACGUUGCCAGAGCACGGACGCGCGGUCCGGCGUGCACGGACGGUUUCGCGGGGCGCCGCACGUACGUGCGGUGGCCAUGCGGGGCGCGGCGGCGAGGAGGCCGGGUGGUGGGCGCGGCCGUGCGGCGGCAGGAGUGCGGGCCGGCGGACGCGGCCGUGCGGUGGCGCGAGCGCGGGCCAGCGGGCGCGGUGGCUAGGAUGUGUCGGCGGCCGCGGCCGGAGCAGCGGCGCGACUAUCCGGUGAGGCGGCGCGGCGCGCGGCGUGGCGAGGCCGGCGUCCGGCGCCGGGCGGCGGCCGGCGCUACCUCCUGUUUUUCUUUUUUCCUUUUUUUUUCAAUUUUCUUCUUUUCUUCUUUUCUCUUCCCGUUAACUUCGUGUGGUCGGGGAGGCGCGGCGGCCGCGGCCAGAAUGGUGGCGCGGCUCGGCUGCGGCCGUGCGCCGACAACGGCUGCAGCGUGGGUGCUGCCAGCGGCGGCCUCUGUGCAGGGCGCGGAUGAGCGAUGACCAGUCGUGAUGCCGUGGAGUUCGGUGCAGUGGCGCGGUUCAGCACGGCCGUGCGGCGGCGAGGCCAUGCGGUGGCCGGCGCGUGGCCGACGUCUCCAUUGGCGUCUUUUUCUUGUUCUUCUUCUUUGUCUUGUUUCAUUUGUUUUCCUCACCUGUUUUGCUGUUAGUUGCCAUGGCGCAUGCGUCCGGCACGGGCUUGCUGCGUGCCCUAGUUGCAGUGAGGCGAUGGCCAUGCAUGGCGAGCGCGAACGGCUGCCAGUGAUGGCGCGAGUGCAGCCAUGGGGGUGCGGUGGCCGGCGUGCGUCCAGGACGAUGUGGCCUGUCGCCGGGGUAUCCGUGUGCGGCAUGGCGCGGAGGGACGCGCUCAGCCAGCUAGCUUUUCCGGGAUAUCGCUAAUCGGCUUUCGCCGGCGACUGCAAGUCGGCGGUAGCAGAUUUGUCCAGGAAACUAGAACGGAAUGAGAACGAGGAGAGGAAUUCAUUUUCGCGAUUGAAUCGGCGAGAUGCAAAAUGAAACUACGAGUUCUUACCCUUCUUCCUCGGUCUCCGGUAGAACGUCGUGCACGAAGUAGUCCAAGAGGGUCCCGUAAUUCUAGAAAAGUAGAGACACAAGAUGUAGGGGUGAGACUCUUUUCUCAUUCAUCAUUCUAUCAUCCUCAAGCACAAGUGUACACAAAUGAGCACCCCUCUCCUCCUUAUAUAGCCUUCCUCCAGAUAUGGAAGGUUUCGGUGUGGGCCCAAUUAGUAUAUAUGGGCUGGGUCUUUAUGGGCCCAAGCCCAUAGGUUUCCUAACAGGCAGGACCAAUUUAAGCGCUUCGUGUGUGAUAUCCAUUGUGGUGGUGUUUUCAUCCAGGUGGACAGAAAGCCAUACACCAUUGUUUCAUUAGUUAUUGCUUUUAGUUGAAUAAUUUUGUUUGGAUGGAAACGAUGGUGAAUGUGGUGUAAUCUUUAAUUUCAGGAGCAAAUGCUGGUGACUGGUCAUGCCUGGCAUUUCAAGAACUAUGACAAACGGCCACAAUUUGCGAAGUGGGAAAAAAUGGCACGUGAUGCACGACAAGGGCUUUGGGCAUAUGAUAACCCUGAGAAGCCGUGGGAAUGGAGAAAGAACAAGCGGAAGGCAUCUGAACAUCACAAUUCAGGUGUUCGUUGAUGGACACUGGUCACUUGGAUGAUGAGCUGAUCUGAAAUGACAUAGUUGGAAUUGAAUCUGUGGUUAUUAAACAGUUAGCCCCAGAUGAUUAUGUAUAAAAAGUAUGAUAUACUCUGUAUAAAGUAUUAAGAUUGCUAAUCUCGAUCUAUGUUAUUUCUAAUAUUUGAGUGCAGAAUGUGUAGAUGAGUUA